GAUGUGGCCAGUUACCUGGAAGGGUUGGGUUGGGGCCUCUGACAACAGCAAAAUAGUAAGAGUACCCUUGGGCUUCUGGUCCCAGCUGUGGAAAGGAGCAGAGCAAUGAUACUGUAUGAUGGAACGGCAGCUACACGCCAUCCAAGAUGCCUUCCAACAGGUGGAAGACAUUGCCAAAGGCCUACCUGCGUCAUCAAGCAAUGCAAACAACCCCACUUUCUGGCCAUGGAGUUCCGGAAGGCUGAGAACAACGCCCCACACUGGCGUUCCCACCUGCCCCUCAGCCCUACUGCUGCUGGGAUAAUUGAAAGGAUGAGUGGAUUGCUUAAACAGCAAUUGAGAUAGAAACCUACACUCUCAACACGUGGACCCAGGACGCGAACUCAGGCCCUGCAAACCAUCGCUGAACAUCCCAGGAGCAGCGUCCCAGUGCCUACACCAUGUUAACACAGUGCACCUGGUCAGCACAAUCCGAAUUCAACUGUGGACCACCAAACAUUCAACGCUGACUCUUGGUCAGGACAAUAACUCACAUUUGCCCUUGUCGCAGGAUCUAUGCCUAGGGGAACACAUGAUAAGGUGGGACUGGCAGGUAAGUCCCCGGUGGUUUGGGUUUGCUGCCCUCAAGGGAAUGGGAUUAGAAAGGGAUUCACAGAUUGCACCUGUCUUCUACCCGGCCCCACCUAAGACUCUCAGGUAACUAACCUGGGUCCCUACUGGAGGAAGGCACCAUUAUAUGUACCGUGUGGUCUGUUGUUACACUGCCUCCCCCUAUUUGGCACCAGCUGAGUGUGGACAGAAGGCCAGGCCUAACCAGGGAUGGGGGUGAUAUAUCUUGGAACUCGUUUACUGCCUGUAUUUUGCUUGAUGGUUAUGAUCUUCCCUGUACUGUGCCUGUUCAACAUCUUACACCUGAUCCCUGGUUGGAGUGGAGGGAAUCCGUUUGUGGGCUGGGCAAGAAGAGUGGCCUCGCUGAGAGAUGAGUUCAAUUGCUGGGUCUAUAGCAAGGUGGCAUUAUCAUUCUCUGGAUUUCCAUGGACUGGUGACUGGUGACCCCAUAACUACUUGGCCCCAAAAUCUGCCCACCUCUUGGACUCUUGAUACCCUUGAGCUUCUGUUGUGCAUUGCACUUGUGUUUGAUGGCUGUGCACCUCUACAUACCUGAGCUCAGGGACUGUCUUGAAUGAGGGGCAGACCAAGAUUGUAAGGGUCAUGCAAGGUAUGUGUGGGGGUGGAGGGUCUGGUCAGGCCACUCGAGGUGGCUGUCCUCUUGCUCUCUGUACAUCCCCGGCUGGACCAGUCCCUGCUUCCCCUGCUCCCUUGCCCCCUGCCCCCGCUGGUAACUAAUGAUCGUUCUAAUCGUGAGGCCAGAAGGGCUCCACCUGCUAGUUAUUAAAGGGAAAAAAUCUACCCUCGUGAUGGUCAUUAACCUGGGGGACUGGCAGGGACAUGGCCCAUGGGCUGGUUUCCCUGCUGACUGAUGAGCCAACCUGGCAUCAUUUUCCUCUGUAAAUGGAAGCCUCCUUCUCCCCAGGAUGGUGAAGGUUGCUUCCAGGUCCUGCCUGCCUCCAGCCGCACAUCAUGGGGGGAGUUGCUCCAGGACCUCUUGCUUGGGAUGUGUAAGACUCCCUGUCCAGUGAACCACUGGUUUCUCCCUAGCUCUAGGUUCUUCCUUUGGUUUCAAGACUGGACACAUAGCAGGCUUGCAGACCUGUGGGGUGCAGCCCAAUACCUCUUAAAUACAUGGAAAUGAUCUUGAUAACAGACUCCAAGUUUGCUCUACACAUAAAUGAAAGGAUACCGAGGAUCUGGACGGCCUUACCUUUACAUGAAAUGUGGUAAGCAAACAGCAGAAGGCAAGGAGAGUAUGCGUUCCAGGUAAGUCUUUGUCUCAGUGACACUUGGCUCACAUUCCAGGCCUUUCUCCCACAUCCUAUUUUUGCUCUGCCUUUAUUGAGGAUAAUUAUGACAUUUGUACUCUCAGGCUGAGUUCCUCUGGGGUUGCUCAACGGCUAGCUUUUGGCCUCAGUCUUAUGUUAUGUAUAGAAGGCAAAUUGUAUGUAGUCCUUUGGUUGAAAUUGAAAAAUGAAACAUUAACUUUGGAUUAAACAUUACAUAUUCCUUUUUUUUUUUGGCACUGAACAUUGAGUCCUUGUCUCUUUUCUAGAGUUACACUUAAUCAUACUUGGAAGUACAGUCCGGGGAAACAAAAUAAUAAUAAAUAACAAAAUCGCUACUGCUUACUGGGCACUUAACUCUCUGACAGCUACUGUGCUAAUUUCAUAAACAAAAUUCACAUUUUCACCUUCUUACAGUUAGAGAAAAAGACAAAGCUUAGUUUCCUUCAGGUCAUAUGACUAGACAAAAGCAAUGCCAGAACUUUCAUGCAACUCUCUCAGGCUUCAAAUAUGUAGGUCAGAGCAAUGCCCACUGAGCCCCAAAUAUUGAGCAUCUAAAUUUUUACACAUUGUGUUUCUUCCAGUCCAUUCAACCCAGCUGUAGCUGCUUUGGCCUGUAAAAGAAUUUUCGAGAAUGUUUUUAAAACAUUUGAAUAAAACAUUCUCAUUUAGUCAAUAUCCACAUGGACAUAGACUAUCUCCUGCCAUGUCAACAAAGGAUAUUGUGUCCAUCAAGUCGUUGGCCACUGCGGCUCGCCCUGAUGGAGGGAAAACAGGAUACUGGCCCGAGAGAAGUGAUCUUGGGAUGUUCUGACCACCUGGAUUUUUUGGCCAAAACUCCUAAAUAUCCUGGCUCCUGCCUGACCUCUUUGGAACAGUUGCUCGGAGCUGUCAGAGUUUGUAUCUGGACUUCAGUCCUCAGUAAUCCCACUGAAUUCUCAACUCGGAGGUUAUGUGGUGUUGUCUCUUGUUUGUUUUUUUCCAGUUGACAGUCAUGGUGACCAACUAAGGGACCCAGAGAAGACAUCUCUACUUUGCCUGAACGCUAUCGUAGCUGUGGUACCAGCAGAAGCCUCUCGUGUCCAUCGGCUUCUUCAGAGUCCACAUGACUUCGGAAUAGUCUAUCCUGAACCUUAGAUCUCCCCUUACUGGCUAUUGGUCCUAAUGAUGCAUAUUCGGUGCUGGUCAGCUCUUCCCUGGAGGAGUAGGUACGCCUUGAAACCUGGUUUAAAGAAGU
rnacentral:lncRNA from 1 species